CCUACGGGUGGCAGCAGUGAGGAAUAUUGGUCAAUGGACGAGAGUCUGAACCAGCCAAGUAGCGUGAAGGAUGACUGCCCUAUGGGUUGUAGACUUCUUUUAUAUGGGAAUACAAUGUUCCACGUGUGGGAUUUUGUAUGUACCAUAUGAAUAAGGAUCGGCUAACUCCGUGACAGCAGCCGCGGUAAUACGGAGGAUCCGAGCGUUAUCCGGAUUUAUUGGGUUUAAAGGGAGCGUAGGUGGAUUGUUAAGUCAGUUGUGAAAGUUUGCGGCUCAACCGUAAAAUUGCAGUUGAAACUGGCAGUCUUGAGUACAGUAGAGGUGGGCGGAAUUCGUGGUGUAGCGGUGAAAUGCAUAGAUAUCACGAGGAACCCCGAUUGCGAAGGCAGCCUGCCGGGGUGCGACUGACGCUGAGGCUCGAAGGUGCGGGUAUCAAACAGGAUUAGAUACCCUUGUAGUC
rnacentral:rRNA from 1 species